AGAGAAGGAAAAGGAGAGAAAGAAAAGAGAGAAAAGAGAGAAAGAAGAAGAAGAGAAGGAGAGGAAGAAGAAAGGAAAGAAGGGAGAGGAAGAUGGAACCGAUAAUAGAGAGAGAGCAGAGAAGAGAACAACGGAAGCAGCUGGAAAAGUGGCCACCAGUGAGCAAAUUCCGGUGAUCGGAAAAAGCAAAGGGAGAUUGAGCAAAUGGGAGGAAAUUCUGGGCAAGGUUGUACUCUUCAUGUCAUUCGUAUAGUUGCUGGUUGUGAAAAUGCAAGAAUAUUUUUUUGGUAAAGCACAAUUUGGAAUGGAAGAUGGUAUGCAUGACGGUUUUUGUUGUUAGAAUUUUUUGAAUGAUUGGAAGGUAUUAACUAUUACUCAUAGUUAAUUUUUCAAUCAUCUAGUUAUUAUAAUGUAAAAAUGAUAACUGCAUACUGGUUAGACAUAUAUAAAGCUUUUUGUAUAUGAAGGUUUAUAUGUUACAAAAUGUGAUAUGAUAUAUGAAGCAUAUUAGAUUUUAUUGAUGUAAAUGAUGUUGGGUGCCUAUUUAUUAGGCAUAUAUACAAACUUUUCGUAUAUGAAGGUUCACCAUCAAUGAAAUGCUCUUUGGAAAA